UUAAAACUCUAAAUUUGAAGUUUUGAAUUUCUUUUUUGGAGAACAAAAAACUAUAUAUUUGAAGUUAUAGAGUUUGUUUUGGAGAUGCUCUUAGUGAUGUUGAUGAUGAUGACACUGAAGCUCUUAUGGCUGAACUCGACCAGAUAAAAAAAAGAGAGUGGAGGAGAGGCUCAAGAAGGCUUCACUUAGUGUGCACCGUCCCAACACGUUCAAAAACUUAUUGAAUGAAGACUCGGUUUAUGAGCUUAAUACUUUUGAUGUAACAUAAAGCCCAACUUCCUCUUUACCGAGAGUCCCCAUGUGCUAUUCGUUUCAUUGACCAAACUGUUUUCGUGGAGCUUGUGGAGCUUCUUGCUGAAACGUUUGAACCUAUCCCAAGUGAGAGCUUCAGGUUUCGGGAUUACAAACAAUUUAUGGUAUUAUCUAACACGACUACUGAUUUACCAGAUGUUGUUGGGCAAGUAAGGGGAUUAUAACUACUUACAACGAAGAGACAUAAAGUACACAACGCAUAAUGAUCACCAUAAGCAUUGAAAGUCACUCAGAUGUUUGCCUAAGUGUUUUUGCCGAUCUAGCUAGGCUCCUUGAUGCAAAUUUGCUUCGGAGUUGUGAUGAACCAAAGGUGGUGGUUGCCACAAACAUCAAUCCCAAGGCGGUUAUUCCUGAUGCCAUCUCUGAAACUAAUUUCUAUUUUGGUAUGAGUAUGAUGCUAAGAAAAGUUUUCUUGAGUGAAAAAUUUUCGUGAAUCAUGGUAACUGUGUUGUUAAUGGUGAUGUCGUCUGUGGGGGAAGUGAGACAAUUGAUCCAAGUAACAGCUCUGUCGCGCUGGAAGGAACACAGGUGAGGAUACACCUGUGAAGCAAGUUGGGUGCACUGGAAAGAAGCCACGCAUUAACCAAAUCAGAAAACUGGAUAACCUGUUUAAUGAAAUUUCCCAAAUACUAAAGUUAAGAGUACUUCAAAUCUUUCUUUUUUGUCUAAAUGUUAAAAGAGUACUUCAAAUCUUUUCCAUAUUUUGUUUUGUCGCUAUAAUUUGUAAGAUAUUUGCACCGUCUCAGACCUUCGAAGUCAAUAAAUUAAAAAUUCAUGCUACACCACCCUUUUCCUUUUCCUAACUAAGCAUCAUUAGUAUAAAAAAUCAGGCAAAUCUGUUUUACUACGAUUUGCAUAUUAACGGCAACUAACAUGGUAUUUCGAAACAAUAACCUUCAAAUAAAGAAACAAUAACCUUCAAAUAAAGAAACAAUAAACCC